CUUAAUGAAGCGCUUUGUCCACGUGGACACAAAGCGCUCCCUCAAGGAAGCUUUUCUGUCCACGUGGACAAAGCGCUUCCUUGAGG
rfam:Gossypium hirsutum cultivar TM-1 chromosome 4, whole genome shotgun sequence